rnacentral:ribozyme from 14 species
UCUCUCUCUUUUUUGUUUGUUCUUUUUCUUUUGCCUCUCUUGCUGUAUAUAAUAUCUUUUUCUUGGUGAAAGAGAGAAAAAAACAGCGGAGGGCGCAAAUAAAAUAAAAAUAAGAAAA